UCACUGUAGUUACAGCUAGUGUCAAAAUACAUCGGUUUUACUACUGUAAAACUUCAGUGAAUGAAUAUCGAAAUUAUAUCCAAAGGUGAAGUCAAACAUUUCCAGCCUAUAAAGACUUGUGUUGCUGCUGGAAAGAAGCCAGGGCAUGUGUCCGUGUUUACCUCGCAGGCACCGGGUCGCACGCUCCUUUCACGCUGAUGUCAGAUUGGCACCACACAUGUGUUACGCCACGGUACCACGCAAGCUGACGGGAAAGAGUGUGAGAAAAAUGGACUCUGGAAGAUGUUUUCCCCUGGUUUUCACAACCCUUGGCCCUCCUUCACGUCCCCUGCACUCAUUUAUUCCUUUUUCCUCAGCUUGAACACGUCAAGGAUGAAAGAGAGUGUGACAUCACCGUUUUGAUAAUUGGCGUCUAAUAUUUCUGUGGGACUCUUAAAAGUGGGGGAAAAAUAUGUGCCAAUAUUACACUGGCAUCUGAUUCUGAUUUGGUUUUUGAUCCCCAAACCUAUUUUGUGGGCUUAGGUUGUAAACAGUAAAAAUAAAAGUAAACAAAUAUUAAUAAGAGGCCA
ensembl:lncRNA